AAACCCUAAUAGACAACUUCAUCGUCGCUUUCAUUCUUCUGGAUCCAUCCCUGUGUUUUCUUCACUCACUUUAACCCUAAUAGACAACUUCAUCACCGUUAUGAGAUUAUUUAGAUGAUGUUCUUCCUUCAGCGAUUCGUCAAUGUUCAUCACAUGAGAAGGUUGUGAAGUGUAAUAUUAACUGGAACAUGGUGGAUUAACUUGCUUUUUAUGGGCUUCCAGCAGCCGAAGGAAUUUGGUUGUAGGUGCACAGGCGCACAGGCUAUUUUUUGGACAUCGAUUUGUUUUUUUCGUCAAUUGCAACGAGAUGUAACCAGCGGCAGCUUACAAGUAGGGUACCUUAGUGCCAUCUUUGCUCAAUCUCUGCAACUAUUUCGUCCAUCAAUCUUCGUUAUUCACGGCUUUAUCAUGUUGUUGCUAUUCGAAGCCCUAAUUAGAACAGCACAAAAUGUUUGUUCUACAGUUCCUACAGUUUCAGUUGAAGUCUGCACCGAUUUCUUAUCUUGACUUUGCUGUUGAAAUCAAUUGACUUGUUGCAGCAGCAUUGAUGUUUCAACAGAAUGUAUAAGCUCUUAUUUUUGGGCCUUUGAAGGAUUGGAGUGCGGCAAAGCUGAUUGUCGGUGCGCUUUUGCAGCAGUUUCUUCUGUUUGCGAGGUGGCAGAUUGAGACGGCACAAGCACAGAAAGUAUUUGUAGAAUGUUGGAUCAAGCCUCGAAAGUCGAGCUCUUUUUAUAGAAGCAGGCCUUAAAUUUCUUCGUGUAGCCUCUUUAUUUGAAUCCUGCCAUAGCCAAACAGGGAGAUACGGUGAUAUGAUUGUCCAAACUAGGUGUGCAGGGGUUAUUAAAGUGGGUGGUGAAGUGGGUUGCAUGCUUAGUGAAGGCCCAUGGAUGUUUGUGGGUCUGUCAAACCUUGUCAAUGCGUGGAUUGUGCAAACUUCUGUCUAGUUGAGUCUUAAUGGACCUGUUGGGCAAGUCUAUUCACUGGUUGUAGGAAACGAUUACUAUUUGCUGGUACACAGCUGUUAGUAGCAUAUUCCAUGUUUACAUGGGGAAGACUAGCCUUACACAUUUACGGUCCUUAUAUUUGAGCUGACAAAUAUCAACUUGAGGUGAUCAUGGAUGAAACUCCUCAGCUUGCAAAAGGAGCUGCGAAAGCUAUGUAUGAGUUAUAUGAUGUAGUAACUCACAAUCUCCUGUCAUCUGAGCUAGGAGUGCGAAUGCAUUAUGGACAUCACGAUGUCUUUGACCGAAUAUUUCAUAUUUCUCGAGGUGGAAUAAGUAAGGCAUCACGUGUUAUUAAUAUUAGCGAAGAUAUAUAUGCAGGGUUCAAUUCCAUUGAGACAGGGUAACAUCACACACCAUGAAUACAUUCAGGUGGGGAAAGGAAGAAAUGUGGGUUUAAAUCAAAUUGCCCUGUUUGUUUGAAGGUAAAGUUGCUGGUGGGAAUUGGGGAGCAAGUUUUAAGCAGAGAUAUGUAUAGAGUUGGUCAACUCUUUGACUUUUUUAGAAUGCUCACUUUCUACUUUACCACAGUUGGUUACUAUGUAUGCACAAUGGCAUUCUCAGGACUUAUCAAGGAAUUACCCGUAGAUCCAUGUUGCUCGGAUCAUUCUCGGCCCUGUUUGAGUCGUUCAGAGAAGUUCGUAUCCGAAUUAAGAGGCGGAAACUAAUAAUUCGGUGCUAUUGAAGCUGUAUACACUUUAAACUUGCUGUUGUAUUGAUUUUGAACUCGAUUACAAGAUUUGACAGCACUUCGGCAGCAUACCGGAACAAACACCUU
rnacentral:lncRNA from 1 species